GGAGGGUGCAAGCGUUAAUCGGAAUUACUGGGCGUAAAGCGCACGCAGGCGGUCUGUCAAGUCGGAUGUGAAAUCCCCGGGCUCAACCUGGGAACUGCAUUCGAAACUGGCAGGCUAGAGUCUUGUAGAGGGGGGUAGAAUUCCAGGUGUAGCGGUGAAAUGCGUAGAGAUCUGGAGGAAUACCGGUGGCGAAGGCGGCCCCCUGGACAAAGACUGACGCUCAGGUGCGAAAGCGUGGGGAGCAAACAGGGAUUAGAUACCCUGGUAGUCCACGCUGUAAACGAUGUCGACUUGGAGUUGUUCCCCUUGAGGAGUGGCUUCCGGAGCUAACGCGUUAAGUCGACCGCCUGGGGGAGUACGGCCGCAAGGUUA
rnacentral:rRNA from 1 species